GUGAUUCAAUUUAAUUUGAAUUUAUUUUAUUAUAAAUAUAUUUAGUUUAAUUAAAAUAUUAUAGAGUUUUAUUAUUUAUAAAGAAAAAAUUUUUUUAGUUAUAGAAAAUUAGUAUUGUGUAAGAAUUAGCAUAAAUGUGUUUAAGAAUAAUUAAUUUUUAGUACCUUGUGUAUCAGGGUUUAUUAAUUAAAUUUUAAUAUUUUAAAUUUCUCGAAUUAAUAAGAGUUAAUUAUUAAUAAAUUUUAUUGUAAAAUAAAUAUUUAAAAUUAAUAGUUAGUAAUGAAACGUUAUUCGUUUAUUAAAAUAUCUAGUUUUUUAAGAAAAAAAUUUAAUUUUAUUUAUAAUAUUUAUUUUUAUUAUUAAUUUAUUUAUAAAUUAUAUAAUUAGGGAUUAGCUUAAUUAUUGAUCAUUAAAAAUAAUUUUAUUAAUAAAAAUUUGUAGGAUUAGAAAUUUUCAUCUUUUAGUUUGUUAUAAUUAUUUUUUUUAUAGGAUAAAAAUUUAAAUUUAUUUUAAUUUAUUUAUUAAAAUAUUAAAAUUAAUAUUUAUAUUUUAAGUAAUAAUGAUAAAAUUAGUAUAAGUAUAUUGUUUUAUAUUUUAUAAAUUAUAGGUUAUAAUAAGGAAUUCGGCAAAUUUAUUUUUCGCCUGUUUAUUAAAAACAUGUCUUUUUGUUUAAAAUUUAAAGUCUGACCUGCCCAAUGAAAAUUUUAAUGGCCGCAGUAUUUUGACUGUGCAAAGGUAGCAUAAUCAUUAGUUUUUUAAUUGAAAGCUGGAAUGAAGGGUUUGACGAGAAAGUGGCUGUCUCUUUAUAAAUUUUUUAUAAUUUUAUUUUUAAGUUAAAAAGCUUAAAUUUAUUUAAAAGACGAGAAGACCCUAUAGAGUUUUAUAUAAUUUUAUUUAAUAAUUUAAUUAGUAUAAAAAAAAUUUUAUUAAAAAUUGUAUUUUAUUGGGGUGAUGGAAAGAUUUAUUUAACUUUUUUUUGAUAAAAACAUUAAUUUAUGAUUAUUUGAUCCAAAUAUUUUGAUUAUAAGAUUUAAUUACCUUAGGGAUAACAGCGUAAUUUCUUUAGAGAGUUCAAAUCGAUAGAGAAGUUUGCGACCUCGAUGUUGGAUUAAAAUAAAUUUUUGGUGUAGAAGCUAAGAAGAUUAGGUCUGUUCGACCUUUAAAUUUUUACAUGAUCUGAGUUUAAACCGGUGUAAGCCAGGUUGGUUUCUAUCUUUAAAUAAAUUAAAUAUUUUAGUACGAAAGGACCAAGUAUUUGUAAAAUUUACUAUUAUUAGAAUUAAAUUAAUAU
rnacentral:rRNA from 1 species